CGGGGUGACGCAGGAAGGUAGCUGAGCCCGGCCGGUGGUUGUGCCGGGGUAAGCGUGUAGGCCGUGGUGUAGGCAAAUCCGCACCACAUGAAGGCUGAGACGUGAUGCCGAGCCGAUUCAGGUGAAGUCAGUGAUCCUAUGCUGCCGAGAAAAGCCUCUAGCGAGUUCUUAGCGGCCCGUACCCCAAACCGACACAUGUGGUCAGGUAGAGAAUACCGAGGCUAUCGGGCGAACUGUGGUUAAGGAACUCGGCAAAUUGCCCCCGUAACUUAGGGAGAAGGGGGGCCGGAGACGUGAAGCCCCGCGCGGGUGGAGCGUUGUAUGGCCGCAGAGAGCAGGGGGAAGCGACUGUUUACUAAAAACACAGGUCCAUGCGAAGAAGUAAUUCGAUGUAUAUGGACUGACGCCUGCCCGGUGCUGGAACGUUAAGGGGACCUGUUAGCUCUUCGGGGCGAAGCGGAGAACUUAAGCGCCAGUAAACGGCGGUGGUAACUAUAACCAUCCUAAGGUAGCGAAAUUCCUUGUCGGGUAAGUUCCGACCUGCACGAAUGGCGUAACGACUUCCCCACUGUCUCAACCACAGGCCCGGCGAAAUUGCAGUACGAGUAAAGAUGCUCGUUACGCGCGGCAGGACGGAAAGACCCCGGGACCUUUACUAUAGCUUGACAUUGGUACUCGAAUUAGCUUGUGUAGGAUAGGUGGGAGCCGGUGAAGUCCAUACGCCAGUAUGGGUGGAGGCAAUCUUGAAAUACCACUCUGGUUGAUUUGGGUAUCUAACUUCGGACCGUUAUCCGGUUCAGGGACAGUGUCUGGUGGGUAGUUUAACUGGGGCGGUUGCCUCCUAAAAGGUAACGGAGGCGCCCAAAGGUUCCCUCAGCCUGGUUGGCAAUCAGGUGUUGAGUGCAAGUACACAAGGGAGCUUGACUGUGAGACUGACAGGUCGAGCAGGGACGAAAGUCGGGACUAGUGAUCCGGCACUUGCGAGUGGAAGCGGUGUCGCUCAACGGAUAAAAGGUACCCCGGGGAUAACAGGCUGAUCUUCCCCAAGAGUCCAUAUCGACGGGAUGGUUUGGCACCUCGAUGUCGGCUCGUCGCAUCCUGGGGCUGUAGCAGGUCCCAAGGGUUGGGCUGUUCGCCCAUUAAAGCGGUACGCGAGCUGGGUUUAGAACUUCGUGAGACAGUUCGGUCCCUAUCCGCCGUGCGCGUAGGAUACUUGAGAAGGGCUGUCCCUAGUACGAGAGGACCGGGACGGACGAACCUCUGGUGUGCCAGUUGUCCCGCCAGGGGCACGGCUGGUUAGCUACGUUCGGAAGGGAUAACCGCUGAAAGCAUCUAAGCGGGAAGCCUGCUUCAAGAUGAGGUAUCCCACCCACUUUGUGGGGUAAGGCCCCCAGCUAGACGACUGGGUUGAUAGGCCGGAAAUGUAAGCCCGGUAACGGGUUCAGUUGACCGGUACUAAUAGGCCGAGGACUUGACAA
rnacentral:rRNA from 1 species